AUACGUAGGGAGCGAGCGUUGUCCGGAAUUACUGGGCGUAAAGGGCGCGUAGGCGGCGCUUCAAGUCGUCUGUCAAAUGGGAGGGCUUAACCCUUUUUCGCAGACGAAACUGUGGCGCUAGAGAAGCAGAGAGGCAAACAGAAUUCCUGGUGUAGCGGUGAAAUGCGUAGAUAUCAGGAAGAAUACCAGUGGCGAAGGCGGUUUGCUGGCUGCAUACUGACGCUGAAGCGCGAAAGCCAGGGGAGCAAACGGGAUUAGAUACCCCGGUAGUCCUGGCAGUAAACGAUGUAUGCUGGGUGUGGGAGUAGCGAUACCUCCGUGCCGAAGUUAACGCGAUAAGCAUACCGCCUGGGGAGUACGGUCGCAAGAUUGAAACUCAAAUGAAUUGACAGGG
rnacentral:rRNA from 1 species